UUUGGCUCCAUGCACAGUCAGCCAAGACAGAGAAGCAUUUCUGGUGAAUGAUUCAUCCUGACCAACACCCAAGUUGCCUGCUGGUGUUGCCAACAUCAGGAGCCAAGGAAGAUUCAGCUGCUGACCAGGGGCCACAGUAGCUGGCUGGGCGGUGGGCGGUACUCAGGUGUUACCAGAGUAGCUGUCAUGAGCAGGAGGCAAUUAAAUUGCCUAGCAAAAGGGGCAGCAAGUUGUUAAGGAGAGUGGGAAAGUCAAUCAAAUUUUUCUGAGAUGAUAGGAAGAUAUUUGCAGCAACUGACUUUUUUUUCAGUGCUAUACAGGGCUGUAAUAUAUUCCAGGAACCUCAUUUUGAGUACUCUGAUUUUGUUGACCUUAAUUUGGUUAAUGUUUAUUUUUUGCAGAUUUCGGUCAGAUAACAAAUUCAUUUUAUCUGAGGAAAAUAACUUGGUGAAGCUGUGUGCAAAUCCUGCUUUUUUGGUGAGCUGGAAUUGAAAGAAAAAGAAAGCCCAGCUAAGCUGUGCUGGGGAGGUGUGACGACUCAUCUCUGGUUCUUGUAGAUCAGUAUCUCCUCUCCCUUGCUUGACCUAUAGCUGUAAUUCUUCCUACAGGUGAUCCAUGUUGUUUGGAGAGCUCCUUCCUGCCUGGCUCAGAGGGCUGGAUAAUUUCAAUUUUCCACUUGGCAAGUAAGAAAUUCCAUCCACAAGUUCCAGUGAUUCAGCUCUCAAUUUUUUGUCAUGCUUGCUGCUUGAUCUUUCCAAGAAAAUGUGGGCUUUUCCAUUUGAGGAAAGGGCUGCAUGUCCUGUCUGAACUGACGGAGCCCUCCAAUCAUCAGCCAGGACCAAAGAAAUCAUUUCCCAAUUCUCUGAGCCAUGUUUCUGGCACCUCCGUAUUGACCCUUCCUUUCCUGUUGCAUGAACCUUAUCUUCACCCACAAGUCCUUCCUCAAGACCAGUGCUUCUUAUCAUCUCCUGUCCACCACCCACCAUCCUGUUGUCACAUUUUCCAGCAAACACUUUGAGUGUCAGCCCAUGGCCAGCACUACUGGGGGGAGCUACCACCUCCUUGAGUCCCUUGGACAACAGCCACACCAGGCUGAGCCCACUGCCUCAGGGUCUCAAGAGCAAGAAAUGAAGCAAGAAGCACCCAGAGAAAUGCUUCCCCUCCUGCCCUUGCAUUUACAAGGAGAGAGUGCUGGCAGACCCCAUGCAAGGAUUCUGACAAGACCGCUUCAUAUGACACUUCGGCAUCUACACACAAGCCAGAAUGGCCUGAGGCUAUGUUUCACCCAGACCUCUGAAGUAGCUGAGCAGCUGCUCAACCUGGAGGACAGCAGCUGGCAGUGAGGUGGGGACAGAGAGGUGACCUAGAAGAGCAUUUGGUGAGAAGAGAAAGGACGAAGAGAAUCCAACUGUGCUGUGGCAGAGCCAAUGCCGCUGUGGCAGCAGAGCCCUGGUUGGGCACAUUGAGGCACAGAAACCAGCCUGGUCCUGGACAGCAGCUCCAGCUGUGCUCACUGCCACCGACCAGCUCCCAGGCCUUACAGCCACAAAAAAUAAUGGAACAAUUUACGUGAUGGAGGAUUGCAGUGAGACACAUCUGUGAAGUGUUCCCACCUUGGACGUGACUCCUGUGACUGCUGCCAGCAGCAGGCCCUGCCGGCAGAAACCAGGGCUGCAAAGCAACCAGAAGGCUGUGUAUCUGCUGUUUUCUGUGUUCGAGUUGGUUUCCUGCCUGCCCCCCUUAUUAACACACAGAAGACUUCUCCAAUCUGCCGUGAGUGAUUUACGGCUUAGAAAUUUCUGGUGAACGCUCUGAAAGUCACUGCAACCACGACAAAAUGUUUACCAAGUUUUACAAGAAAAUGAGCCUGCCCUCUAGCUGCAGAUUGAGCACAUGGCUGUUUAUUGCCUUUUCUGCAGGAGAAAGGGAUUCACACCAGUUUUGCUUCCUCAUGUGCUUCCUGGGCACUCCUCCCUGAGCCUGGGGCUUGAUGGGCACCUUGGUGGGCCUGACAUGACUGCCCAAAAGCCCCUGACAUGGCUCCCAGGAACCUUGACAUGGCUGCCUAGGUGCCCCUGAGAUUACUUCCCAGGAGCCCCUGACAUGGCCGCCCAGGUGCUCCUGACAUGUCUGCCCUGGAGCCCUUGACAUGGCUGCCCAUGAGCACCUGAUAUGGCCACCCAGGAGCCCCUGACAUGGCUGCCCAGGAACCUGGUCACUGACCCAGUGCACCCACAGGGCUUUGGUGCAAUAAUGUUGGUUCUCCAAACUGCAGGACAGCUGUUCAUGGCAUCCAUUCAUCUUCAUUGCCCUCAUGAGUAGUGACAAACCAGUUUCUGAAGGGCAGGGACAUUUCUCACUGCUCGCAGCUUUGUCACUAACUGUAGCAUUUUUGUGUAGUCUUGAGAUUUAAUACUGGUGGUACAUACACCUAAGAUCAGCAUCUGAAUUUAAACCAGGUCUAAGAUCAGAACCACAGCAAACGUGAAUUCAAGUGCCAUUUCAUAUAUAUGUACAUAUUCUGUGGCUUGAAAUCUUGAAAAAUGCUGGAGAAAACAACAGCCCACCUGUUUGCUGGGGGACUGGUACUCUAAGAUCAAAAUGCCAAUGAUACACCAGAAAGAUUUAGUGUUUUGGAGUGCUACAUGGUGAGAAGGCAAACUGCUGCAGAUACGUACUUUAUAUACUGGCACUGAGGCACACGGUACCGUACAAACCAACCACUGAAUAAACAGAGACAGGGCUGUGGGUUAAAAAGCCA
rnacentral:lncRNA from 1 species